CUUUUUCACCUAGUCUUUUUUUUUUUUUUUUUACAUAGCUGCUUACUUCCAGAUCACCAGUCUUUUUUAGGGAAAGCAACUAACAACAUAUUUCUUGUGAACUAGAGGGUUGAAGUUGAAUUUUCUUCGUUUCUGCUGAGACCCCUAAGGCAUCGUCCCUGGACCAGCAGCAGCCUGGAUGCAACACCAGGCGGUCCCAAGUGAGCUCAGGCUUCUGCUGGGAACACGGUCUAUAAAGGAUGAUCUAUAAAGGAGCUGGAAGUUCGAGGAUAAUUUUUAGAGGCCACCGAGAGACUAUGAAUCUUACCACCCACAGAGGAAGGCGGUGGGGUUUCUGCUUCACCUCCAGUCUACAGAAGAGAGGCGGGGCAUGCCUGUGAAAGCUCAUAAAAACGCACCCCCCAGGCUCGGGAGCCAGAAGCCUGCUCACAGCAGUAUCUGUGAAUGAUGAACUUCCGCUCCCCACCUCACCCUCCCCAGCAACUUGGGCAAAACAGGUGACAGCACCAAGUGGCAAAUAAAACCAAGGCCAAACACAAGCUGCUCUCCCCUUGAAGAGAGCGAGGUUCCGUGCGGGCCCACGGUGGAAGGGGUGGCCUCUCUCUCCAAAUGGGGCUCAGAGUUGUUCCUGUGGUGGACAAGGGGCUUCAUCUGCCCAGGGCAGGGCUUGCCCCACAUCUCACCUAGGGAUGGGGUAGAACACGCCCUGAACAGUAAAGUUAGACAGUAGGAGACCAAAAUCAAGGUGCUUUUGUUGGAUUAAGCUUGUUUGCCACAGCAGCAGGACCAGCAUUUUGAACACGUUCUGUUAACUGUGUUGUCAUCUCAACUGAACACAUAAUUGAUCAGUGUAAGUUCACGCACACUGGGGUGUGCUUACUAAUUUGAUGGAUUUGGUGACUUAGUGAUUUCUACCUGCUGUGACGAUGGAAUCUGAGACCUCCAUUUUUCAUUUUUUCUUUUUCUGGAAUUUGGUAUGGAAAGAUGGCUUUUAGGAUUCUCAAUGAAAAAUGUGCCAACAUGCAGUGUCUCAGCGCCAAAAACAUAUGGAAGGC